rnacentral:rRNA from 1 species
UACGUAGGGUCCGAGCGUUGUCCGGAAUUAUUGGGCGUAAAGAGCUCGUAGGCGGUGUGUCGCGUCGGCCGUGAAAACCUGGGGCUCAACUCUGGGCGUGCGGUCGAUACGGGCAUCACUUGAGUUCGGCAGGGGAGACUGGAAUUCCUGGUGUAGCGGUGAAAUGCGCAGAUAUCAGGAGGAACACCGGUGGCGAAGGCGGGUCUCUGGGCCGAUACUGACGCUGAGGAGCGAAAGCAUGGGUAGCGAACAGG